CUUGGUCAUUUAGAGGAAGUAAAAGUCGUAACAAGGUCUCCGUUGGUGAACCAGCGGAGGGAUCAUUACCGAGUUAUUACUCCAAACCCUUUGUGAACCUUACCUUUUUGUUGCUCGGCGCACCGCGGGCCGCGGCUUCGGCCCGUCCCGCAGCGCGCCAGAGGACCCAACUCUUCAAUUUAUAGCGUACCUUCUGAUUUACAAAACAAACAAGUUAAAACUUUCAACAACGGAUCUCUUGGUUCUGGCAUCGAUGAAGAACGCAGCGAAAUGCGAUAAGUAAUGCGAAUUGCAGAAUUCCAGUGAGUCAUCGAAUCUUUGAACGCACAUUGCGCCCUUUGGCAUUCCGAAGGGCAUGCCUGUCCGAGCGUCAUUAUCACCCCUCAAGCCCCCCGGCUUGGUGUUGGAGCCUCCGUUUCGGUACGGAUCUCUCAAAGACAAUGACGGCGGCCUCGUGGUUUCCCGGUACACUGAGCUUCCUAAUCGAGCACGUACUGAUGGAUCUCUGGGGCAGACGGUCUCCCUCCGCGAGGAGAAAAUUCUUCAAGGUUGACCUCGGAUCAGGUAGGAAUACCCGCUGAACUUAAGCAUAUCAAUAAGCGGAGGA
rnacentral:rRNA from 1 species